rnacentral:rRNA from 1 species
AGAGUUUGAUCAUGGCUCAGGAUGAACGCUGGCGGCGUGCCUAACACAUGCAAGUCGAACGGUAACCCUUGGAUUCGUCUGGGGGGGAGAGUGGCAAACGGGUGAGUAACACGUAGGUAACCUGCCCCAAAGAGGGGAAUAACCACUGGAAACGGUGGCUAAUACCCCAUGUGCUCGGUGAUUCGUUUCGCCGAGGAAAGCUCCGGCGCUUUGGGAGGGGCCUGCGGCCCAUCAGGUAGUUGGUAGGGUAAUGGCCUACCAAGCCUAUGACGGGUAGGGGGCGUGAGAGCGUGAUCCCCCACACUGGCACUGAGACACGGGCCAGACUCCUACGGGAGGCAGCAGUGAGGAAUAUUGCCCAAUGGACGCAAGUCUGAGGCAGCAACGCCGCGUGGGCGAUGAAGGCCUUCGGGUUGUAAAGCCCUUUUCUGGGGGAAGAGGAAGGACGGUACCCCAGGAAUAAGUCACGGCUAACUACGUGCCAGCAGCCGCGGUAAUACGUAGGUGGCAAGCGUUAUCCGGAUUCACUGGGCGUAAAGCGCGUGCAGGCGGUUUCGUAAGUCGGACGUGAAAGCUCCUGGCUUAACUGGGAGAGGCCGUUCGAUACUGCGGGACUUGAGGUCGGGAGAGGGACGUGGAAUUCCCGGUGUAGUGGUGGAAUGCGUAGAUAUCGGGAGGAACACCAGUGGCGAAGGCGGCGUCCUGGCCCGUACCUGACGCUGAGACGCGAAAGCGUGGGUAGCGAACGGGAUUAGAUACCCCGGUAGUCCACGCUGUAAACGGUGGAUACUAGGUGUUGGUGGCUAUCGUCAUCAGUGCCGUAGCUAACGCGUUAAGUAUCCCGCCUGGGGACUACGGCCGCAAGGCUAAAACUCAAAGGAAUUGACGGGGGCCCGCACAAGCAGCGGAGCGUGUGGUUUAAUUCGAGGCAACACGAAGAACCUUACCUGGGUUUGACAUGCACGUGGUAGCGAAGCGAAAGCGGAGCGACCCUUCGGGGAGCGUACACAGGUGCUGCAUGGCUGUCGUCAGCUCGUGCCGUGAGGUGUUCGGUUAAGUCCGGUAACGAGCGCAACCCUCGCUGUUAGUUACAUGUGUCUAACGGGACUACCGGUUUAAUGCCGGAGGAAGGUGGGGAUGACGUCAAGUCAGCAUGGCCUCUAUAUCCAGGGCUACACACACGCUACAAUGGCCGGUACAAUGGGUUGCCAAGCCGCGAGGCGGAGCUAAUCCUCCAAAGCCGGUCUCAGUUCGGAUUGUAGGCUGCAACUCGCCUGCAUGAAGUUGGAGUUGCUAGUAACCGCGCGUCAGCUAUAGCGCGGUGAAUACGUUCCCGGGCCUUGUACACACCGCCCGUCACGUCAUGGGAGCUGGUAACACCUGAAGCCAGUGGGCUAACCGUAAGGAGGCAGCUGUCGAAGGUGGGACUGGUGACUGGGACGAAGUCGUAACAAGGUA